UCUUCUCUUACGCCAACUUCAUCAACCUCCGACCCGACGGCCGCCACCUCUUCCGAUCACCUCCACAAACACACGAUUUUGCAUUGAAGGUGGGCAAUAUUUUCGAAAGUGAGAAAAACCUACAUAGUUUCAAGAUGGCUUUCGAUGGAUAUGGAUAUGAAUAUGAAUACCACGAGACUUCGUUUGAGCAUAUGUAUCGAUGCUACCCUCCAUCAUUUAUCAAUAAGGUUAACAUUGUUCGUCACUUAGAUAAUCUGUUUUCAUGAUUGAAAUUUUUUAUG